rnacentral:lncRNA from 1 species
AGAAUGACAUCAGAGAAUCCUAGAAUGUCAGAUUUGGAACCUGAGAACCCAUUGUUGCAAUUUUGUCCAUGAGGGAAACAGAGUCAUUAGAAGCUUUAUGAGAAUAAAGAAUUUAUUAUAGGAUUUCAACCUUACACAGAUGUAGUAGGAACUUCAGAAGAAGAUCUAGUGGAGAGUAGGAAGAGCUAAGAAAAGGCCAGUGACUGCUCUUCCUAAAAUACUGCUAACUUGAAAUACACUGGAUUAUGUUCCCAAGAAAACAAACAAUGAUUUUUAAAAUGCAAAGUUUUGGAAAGCUUGCAAUAAAGUGAGAAAUCACCAAAGGCCUAAACAAAGUCAAGUGUUUUCUGGUGAUUUCCCCCAGAACAACAGAAAAGAAACUCAGGAAAAGAAGUUACUCCAUUCAGCUGAAGUGAGAUUAUACCUGCAAACAGCAAAAACUGGAGUAAAAAGGCAGGCCAAAAUAAUAGUUUCAGAUCACCUCAUUAUUGAGAGGGAAAAAGACCUUUUAUUGCCUUCAUUUCUGAUGUUGAAUGCCUGGUAUAUCAAACAUAUUUAGGGAAAAUAAGGACAAAAACAUGAAGAAAAUACAAACAAUAAAAGGUGAAACCAUAAAAGUGGCUAAUGAAAGGAGUAGAAAUCACUACAAAAGGUAUUAUUAUUUUUCUGAUUAAUCAUUAGCAUUUGGAGGAAUAAGUUUUAUAAUGCAAAGAUAAUAUGAAAAAUGUUCUAAGCAGAAAAGUAUAUGUUCCCUUAUUUUGGAUCUUUAAC